UUUCCGUAGGUGAACCUGCGGAAGGAUCAUUAUUGAAUGAAACACUUCUGGCUUUAUGCUGUUGUGCUGGCCCUUUGGGCAAUGUGCACACGGCUCUGGUCACUUGUUUCUUCUGUUCCACCUGUGCACUGCCUGUAGACACGCUGUGUCUAUGAUAUUUGUUAACACACAAUAAUGUUAGUUGGCAUGUUAUAUAUAAUAAUAAAAUAUACAACUUUCAACAACGGAUCUCUUGGCUCUC
rnacentral:misc_RNA from 1 species